GAGGUAAAGGCUCACCAAGGCAAAGACGGGUACGGGGUGUGAGAGCAUGCCCCCGCUCACUGGGACUGAGACACUGCCCAGACACCUACGGGUGGCUGCAGUCGAGAAUCUUCCGCAAUGGGCGAAAGCCUGACGGAGCGACGCCGCGUGCGGGAUGAAGGCCUUCGGGUUGUAAACCGCUGUCAGUGGGGAGGAAAUGCAUGAGGGUUCUCCCUUGUGCUUGACCGAUCCGCAGAGGAAGCGCAGGCUAAGUUCGUGCCAGCAGCCGCGGUAACACGA
rnacentral:rRNA from 1 species